ACAGGUUGCCCCAUAAUGACCCUGGAGACUCCCGCCUGCCCCCAGUGAAGGAAUUGGUUACUCGCCCAGAGCCCUCCCGGGCAUCGCCCCCUUCCUCACUUCCUCCUCUUCCUGCCCCCAGCCUCUACCCCUCCAGCCUCCUGUGGCUUCACAGCCAAGUGCCCCAUCUCAGGAAGAAGGAGUCCGGCGAUGCUAUUCAAAAACAGAUGGGGUAAGGGGGCAGAUUUAACCCACAGGAUAUAGUUGCCACUCCUGUUCUUGAUAGAGGAGAAGCCCUCAAAGCCUCGCUCCAUCGCCUUCUCAGCUUGUAUGCUUUGAAGAAGCAAGCUGCAGUGUUGGGGAAGCCCCUGUGGCAAGAAAAUGAGGGUGGCUUCCAGCUGAUGGCUGGUGAGAAACUGAGACCUACCUUCCUUCCUUCCAGCAAUCGUCAAGUAACUGACUCUUCCCAACACCAUGUGGGUGAGCUUACAAGUGAACCUUUCUCUAGUUGAGGUUUCAGAUAAGACCACAGAUAUUAUACUAACACCUUAAUUGCAGGCUUAUGAGAAACAUUGAAACGAGAAGACUAAGUAAAACCAUAUCGGGAUUCCUGACUUACAGAAACUGUGAGAUGACAAAUGUGUGUUAUCUUCAGCCACAAAGUUUUGGGGGUGAUUUGUUACACAGCAGUUGAUAAUAGCUACCUCAACCUAUAGUGAUAAAUGGAUGUCUAUUUACUCAUUCUCUCUACCAAAAUGUUACGUUCCUGUAGGGCAGAGGUUAAAACAUAUUCAUCCUGAUACUUCUUCUCACAGCUCAUAACAUGCAACCUGGCCCACAAUACAUGAUUAAUCAAUGUUUGUUAAAUUAACUUGUAUUUUGAGUUUCAUUGAAAUCAGUUAAUUGAAGUGACAAAGAUAACAUUUAAAUGUGCAUCAGCAGUAGUACAAAGCAGAUGGCUGGUUACGAUACAAAGUUUUUGAAAAUUGUGAGGGGAAAAAAUUAUUUAUAUUUGUACCCUGUUGUACCCAGCUUAGGUUUCAAAAACUUUCAGGGGGGGUUUAUUCAUUUACAAAAGACUUCAAAGUCAGUGCCUCCCCACCACACCACAGAGGUCUUUGUCCUUAUUGAUCCAACAGUACUGACUUGCCCGGCGCAUAGUGGGAGCGACUAUAAGGAGAGAGGAGAAGAAAGAAAUAGAAACAACUGUGAAAAAAGUUGAAGAAAAAAGAAAAGGAUAGAAAAAGAGCAAGGAAAAAGAAGAUGUAGUUAACAUCCAAGCCAGAUGCAGAGAAAUGAUUCAAAAGAAAAAGUCUGAUUUUCCUGUCUGUAGUCAUAAAUAUUUUGACAAGGCACUAGGCAUUUAUCAAAAAGGAGGAAAAAAAAAAAGAAUAACAGAGUUUGUCUUCCAAAGGACCCAACACUCUUGGAAUUCAAUGACCUAAUUCUAUAUAUGGUUGCAGUGUAGAGACUGCCUCUCUUGUCUGAUUCUCAUGGCACUGAGACCUCUGAUUUCUCAACAGCGCAGGGCACAGGACUAUCAGAAGUCAGGAAUGAAGAACAGAGGAUGUGGGGAACAGUCUAGAUAUUAUGCUCAGCAAACAUAUUUUUAAGUCAGUGUAGAUUCUCACUCUCUAUCUUGCUGGUUGCUUAUCUUAGCAGUUAAAUCAACUUUUCAUUACUUUUGUAGACAUUAUAUAAUAUUUUCUCCCUGCAGCUCCAGCCACCAGCUGUUAGUCAGCAGAAUGGGAGAGGGAUUGGGUCAGCUUGAGCAGAAUAACUUCCAUGCAGACUUACGAGGGAACCAAUUCCCAGCCACUGAACAAACCUAAAUGUACUACAAUGACCAUAGAACCAAAGAGAUCUUAAGAGAGAAAUCUGAGAGCAUUCAAAGGUCAAAACAAUUGGAGCUAGUUCCUUCAAGCUUAAAUAUUCUCAUCUGUAAAGGGGGGACAAUAAGUGUGUGUCUUAUAGGGUUAUUUUGAAAGCUAACUAUGUGUAAAAGCCUCAGUCUACUGAAAGGUUACUCGACCAUAAUACUCUUUUCAUUUUGUGUGGGAUAAUCCUUUGUUGUGGGUUAAGGAUACUGUCUUGUACAUUACAGGAUAUUUAAAAUGUCCUUAGCUUCUAUCGACCAGAUGCUAACACCCCACCCACAGACCACCAUCCUCUCCAUCAUCACCAUCAAAAACGUCUCCAGACAUUUCCAAGUGACCCCUGGGAGGGUAAAAUCACCCCUGGUUGAGAACCAGUGUUCUAGUGCUUGGCAUUGUUCCAUAAAUAUCGGAUGAUAUUUUUAUCAUUAUAAUUAUUACUAAAGGCAGCACCACCCUGCUAUGGUGACAGCUCCUCAGUCUCACUGAAUGCCCAAAAUAGUUACCGCAUUUCUGCAUCUUUUCAAGAGUAACGGUUGAAAAGAGACAUGGCAAUUCAUCUGACAGCAAUCCAAUAGGAAACCUGCUGUCUCCGUAGAAACUCUUUUCAUGGAAAGAGAAGGGGCUACCAUUUUGUUCUGCUGCAGGAACCAGCUCUAUUCUUCAGCCUUACAGUUUGUGAAAUGCUGCAGACUUUUCCAGGGGCAUAAAUUCUCCAACUUUAGGGAUUGCCGGUAUAAUUGACUCUUGAAGCUGAUGUUGGAUUUCCAAAGUUACCACCAUUUUUACCUUAGAAAGGAAGGAAAAAGAUAUUCAAGAAGGAGAAUUUUUCAACAGAAGUUACCCCAUUUGCUGUUUUUGUGGUUUUGUGCUUGUUUGGGUUUGCAAGUAUGUUUUUUGCCCAAAUUGUUCUUGCAUAUUCUAACAGUGUUUGCUUUACGUGUUUUGAUACCACGCUGUUUUGAAGGUACAAAUGUUUUUCAUGGCAUGUCUUGUGUUAAGUGCACAAACUGAGAGGUGAAUAUUGGGACUGAAUAGAGUACAGUAUUCCUCAAAGUUUUUAACCAAAUAAACGCUAAGAGGAAAGUGAAGCAAGAUUUCUAGAGGUCUGGAAGUGGCCAGCUGAUAAUACGGCAUCUCUAUCCCUCCUAUUUUUAUCUUUAGACUAAAUGCAAAUUUUUCUUUCUGUGCUAAAAGGAAGUUUCACUAGUUUCAAGGUAAAAAUAUGUAAAUAG